GAAGGCUGCCGGGCCCCAGUUUGUGAUUAAGUGAGGAUUCUUGGAACCUGGAAGACAAAGUGCAAUACUUGAAACAGGCAUUUCCGACAGUAACAUCACACACACCAUCGGUGGGGCAGAGUUGGAGUUGGCACAGGAUGAUUCUGCAAGUCCUCCCUUGGCAGUAGCAGAUUUCACACAUAUCUGGAUGCUGGCACUGCAACUUGAGAUGUCAAAGGUUGGACACCAGCUAGGGAUGUUGGCUUUGCUAAGAGAAGAGCAACUAUAACAAAAGAGUGAAGAGCAGGAAACUACAGGUGUUGUGGCACCAGAACCAACCGUCCUCCUGUUUGACUCGCACUGUCGUUGAGCUGAGGGGGGAUAAAGCACCAAAACCUCAGCAUUUAGUAAUACGUAACAUUUACUUCACAGAAGGUAAGCACUGCUCCUUAAGUCAGCAAAAAAAAGCUUGUUUCAAGUGUGAUAGGAUGGCCUGUCCUGCUCCACUGCUCAG